AACGCACAUUGCGCCCCCUGGUAUUCCGGGGGGCAUGCCUGUCCGAGCGUCAUUUCUGCCCUCAAGCACGGCUUGUGUGUUGGGCCCCGUCCUCCGAUCCCGGGGGACGGGCCCGAAAGGCAGCGGCGGCGCCGCGUCCGGUCCUCGAGCGUAUGGGGCUUUGUCACCCGCCCUGUAGGCCCGGCCGGCGCUUGCCAAUCAACCCAAAUUUUUAUCCAGGGUGACCUCGGACCAGAUAGGGAUCCCCGCCGAACUUAA
rnacentral:misc_RNA from 1 species